CAGAAAAGCAAGGUGAAGGAUGCGGGAGCCAGAGUGGUCUGUCAUCCCAACACUUGGGAGGCUGAGGCAGGAGGAUCACAAGCUUGAACCCAGCCUGGGCAAUGUAGAGAGGUAGUGAGAUCCGGUCUCGAGACUUUAAAAUGGGCUGCGGACGGAGCUGGGUGCAAAGGCCUUGGUUUCAAUACCUAUUAUUGUGUGUCCCCCCCACCCCUGGACUGGCGAAUGGGCUUUGGGGGCGGGACCCCCAGCAGACGCGGAGAACCCGGGUGUGGAGGAGGGGCCACGCACAGGAAUCACUGUCCCCGCCCCACCCGACAAGGCCCCAGGGAGGUAGUGAGCCCCUUCCAGCCCCCAGGUUCGCUGGGCCAGGGAGGCCGGGUCUCCUCCAGGAAACAGUUCAAGCAGGAAAAGACGAAGCCAGCCUCCUGCAAGUGCCCGGGGACGCAGAGACCCCAGCCAUCCCUUCUCCUGUCCUGCGGGCCUGAGGCCCAGCUCCGCCCGAACAUCCUCACCAAGGACCUCCGGGAGACCUUCGCUUACCAAAACAAGCUGGCAGCACAGACCGCCAGAAGUGAGUGUCCCCUCGGGGUGGCGGCCCGGGGCCGUGUCUGGGACUCGCUAACUGACGCUGCCCUGUGGCUGUGUCCCUCUCUCCUCCGCCGUGGUGACAGAGCGGGAGCCAGGCCCGGUGAGUAGACACCCGCACUCGGGGCGCCCGGCGGUGGGGCCCCCUGAACUCGGGAAGGCGGUCACUCACGCAGGGUGGUGACCCUUCCCGCCGCAGUGGAAAGGCCGCAGGUGGACCAGCGGGACAGUCCGGGGCCAGCAGAGUCGGGGGGCUGAUGCGAUUCCCUCCAGAGGGCGCGGAGCCGCGGGUCCCGCGCUGCUGAACUUGGAGGCAAAGUCGGAAGAGGAGGAUUCAGGUAAGGACCCUACUGGGAGCGAGAGGGAGGGACAGCGUGUCCGUGGCCGGACCCCUGCUCAGGCGCCGCUGUCCCUGUCCAGGAACUGACUCGGCAGAGCUCUCCUCCAGCUCCUGGGAGGACCUCAAGG
rnacentral:lncRNA from 1 species